rnacentral:lncRNA from 1 species
CGUGACAGGUUUGCAAUCACUCAUAUUAAAUUUCUUCAAUACUUUAGAUAUGUAUGGAGAUUGAUACAAGAACAAAACUGAAUUUGACCUAUCUCUUUCUAUUUUCAUGCCUAGGAUUCUCUUAGCUUUACCUAGGUUUUUCAUGUCAAAUUCACCACUUAGUUUUGCUUUUAUGUUAUUUAUCCACUUAGAGGAUAAUCCAAUCAAGAGCAUGUCGUCCACAUAGAGCAAAAAAAAAAAAAGAUAAUUAUCAUCAGUUUCAUUGUGUUGAAAAUACAAUCAGUGAUCAAAUUUACUUCUUUAGAACCCUAUAGUGAGUACAAAGGAAUCAAACCUCUUUUACCACUAUCUAGGAGAUUGUUUUAACACAUACAAGGAUCUUCUUAGAAAACACACAUAAUUAAGUUUUGACUUAUCCUUAAAAUCUCUUGGUUGAUUCAUGAAGAUUUGUUCAUCAAGCUCGCCAUGUAAAAAGACAGUUUUUACAUCAAGUUGUUCAAGUUCCCAGUCAAAGUGUGCAACCAAUGCGAGCAUGACCCUAAUAGUGGUGUACUUAACAACUGGUGAGAAAAUCUCAUUAUAAUCAGCGCCCUCCUUCUGUGUGUAACCUUUAGCCACUAACCUAGCUUUAAACCUUAAGGGUUCUGAGCCACUGGUAUCUUCCUUAACCUUAAAGACCCAUUUGCAAUCAACAAUCGAUUUGUUUUUAGGCCUAGGUAUCAGCUUCUAAGUAUGAUUCUUUUCUAAAGAACUUAUCUCUUCUUUCAUUGCCUUAAACCAUUCAUUAGAUUGAUCACUGCCUAUCACAUCGUCAAAGGUUUUUGGCUCUUUAUCAGCUAGCUCUUCAUAACUAGCAUGGGCGAAAGCUAAUUCAGAUUCAAAACCGAACCUUCUAGGUUUUCUCGUUUGUCUCAUCUCUCUAUCCCUAACUAAGUUGUAGUUAGCUAAAGGAUGUUCUUCCUCAUAGUGCUCUUCUAUCACUACUUCGUUACUAUUCUCCUCCUCUGGUUCCUGAACUUGAAUCUCCACCUCAUUAGGAGCAGUAGGGGCAGGUUUACUGAGCUUUCCUAACUCCACCUUAAACGGGUCUCUCUCUUCACUUGGUUCAGUUUCACUCUCAGGUUCAGUUUCCCCUUUAAUACACGGCAUAUUAUUCUCGUUAAACGUGACAUCCCUACUUAUGAUGAUCUUAACCCCUUUUUGGCUUCUAUCCCAUAACCUAUAACCCUUAGCACCCUCGGGGUAUUCUAGAAAGACACACUUCCUAGCUCUAGGUUCCAACUUUCCCUCACUCUGAUGAGAAAAAGCAGUACAGCCAAAAGUUUUAAGCAUCGAGUAAUCACUUAUUUACCCGACCAUCUCUCAUGCGGAGUGUCACCAUUCAAUGCAGCAGAGGGAGUCAGGUUAAUCAAAUAACUAGCCUCACCCCAAAAUGACUUGGGAACACCAGAACUUAAUAUCAUGCAACGUACUUUAUCAAGUAUGGUCCUAUUCAUCCUUUCUGCUACUCCAUUUUGCUGAAGAGUGUAAGGAACGGUCUUAUGUCUAGUUAUACCGCUUUCUUUACACAUACUAUCAAAUUCCAUAUUGCAGAAUUCUAGGUCGUUAUCUGUCCUUAAGAAUUUGAUUUUCCACUUGUCUCUUCCAGUUAUUAAAACUAUUAAAAGUCUCAGAUUUAUCUUUCAAUAGAUAGACCCACACUUUCCUAGUAUAGUCAUCGAUAAUAGACAGGUAAUACCUAUUCCCACCCAAUGUGUGCCUUUAGCUCUAUUAACACUCGUGGAGAACGAAGUUUUAUGAUGUAAGCACACAAUGAUCACAGAAUGACAAAUAUGACACAGUCAUUACCAAACGCACCUUUUUCAUUAAGUAACUUAAGUCCCUUGAUGCUCACGCGAGCAAGUCUAUUAUGCCAUGUGUGUGUGUGAUCAAUUUUGGCAGAAGAGAUAGAGGAGUUCAAACCUCUAAUCACUUUUCCAGUAGUAAUAUAGAUAUCGUUUUUCUUAGUUCCCUUAAUGGAAACUAAAGCACCCUUGAUCAAUUUUAGCAUACCAUUUUCAAUUUUACCAGUGAAGUCAUCAUUUUCAACUCUUCCUACUGAAAUCAGAUUCCUAGACAAUUCAGGAAUAUACCUAACAUCCUUUAACGUGUACACAAAACCUGUGUCAAAUUUUACGUUUAUAUCACCAAUUUCAGCAAUAGUAGAGGCAAAGUUAUCACAUAGCACAACAUGCCCAACAUUUGAUUCAUGCAAUUUAUAAAACCAAUUCUUUUCAGACGUCACAUGAAAAGAUGCACCAGAGUCAAAUAUCCAAUCAUGCAUGCGGGAAUUAGCAGUUAGAUUUAAUUCAGUAGUGUAUGCAACGGGACUUGUAAUCAUAUAGACCUCACCAGCAUCUAUAUCGGAAGUAGAUGCUAACACAUUUACCUCAUCUCUCUCCUUAACCUUUAGCUGACCCUUCUCCUUAUGACAAUCCUUUAUAAAAUGCCCCGUGUUUCCACAACCAUAGCAUUUUCUUGUCUUAGUCCUAGAUUUUGAUCUAGACCUACCUUUGUUCUUCUUUUUCCAUCUAUCACCACUUGACUCGCCACUAAUUUGAUAUCCAUCAUGACUAUUUUGCCUAAAUUGAGUUCUACCUCACCGUUCCUCUUAUCAUGUUUUUCAGUCCUAAUUUUCAUUUCUUUACUUUUAAGGGAGUCUAUAACAAUUUCAGGUGUCAAGGUAUCUCUGUCAUACUUAAUGACGUUCUUAACUUCCUUAUAGGAAUCAGGAAUAGCAUUGAGCAAAAUUAUAGCCUUAUAAGAUUCGGACACAGCCUCAUCACAAUUAACUAUAUCUUGCACCAAUUUAUUAAACAUGUCUAAAUUGUCAUAGAGAUCCUUUGAAGGAUCCAUUUUAAAACUGAAGAAACGUUCAAACAAGUAAAGUUUAUUCGGUGUAGAGUUAAACAAAUAUAAGUUUUCCAAUUUUUUCCAAAGUUCUUUAGUGGUUUUCAGUUUACCCACCUUUCUUAAAACGACAUCAGACAAGUGUAAAAUGAUUGAGGUAUAAACAAGCUCAUUGGCUUCUUCUCUCUGUUCUUGUGAAAAAUCAGUUGAAAAAUUGCUUUCAAUGACCUUUGAAACUUUUUGUUGGACUAAAACGACCUUCAUUUUUUGUUGCCAAAUAGCAAAAUCACCCUUUCCAUUAAAAAUCCCCAAAUCAAAGUUGUGAGUUGUCAUCUUUACACAAUAGUUAAAGAGUGCACAAAAAACACAAUCAAACCACACAAAGUAGUCUUAGGGUUUCAGAUAAUGUACGUCAUUCAAGAUUCCCAGGGUUUCGUAAGACUUGGGGUCUUAGAUCAAGGGAAUGUUUGAAAACGGGUGAGGUCACGGUAAUUCUAAUGGAAUGGAUAAGCA